UAGUCAUAUGCUUGUCUUAAAGAUUAAGCCAUGCAUGUCCAAGUAUAAGCCCUUAUAGGGUGAAACUGCGGAUGGCUCAUUAAAUCGGUUGGAAUCUACACGAGAGUGUAUUUAGAUGGAUAACCACGGAAAAUCUGCGGCUAAUACAUGCAGUAAAGCCUCGAAAGGGGUAGCAUUUAUCAGCUUGAGAUGGAUGCAGGGGUAACUCUGCUUGGUGAGUCAUGAUAAAGAUGCAAAUCGUAUGGGCUUGCCCGACGAUGCUUCGUUCGACUUUCCGCCCUAUCAACUUUGGAUGGUAGUGUAGUGGACUACCAUGGUGUUAACGGGUGACGGAGAAUUAGGGUUCGAUUCCGGAGAGGGAGCCUGAGAGAUGGCUACUACUUCCAAGGAAGGCAGCAGGCGCGAAAAUUGCCAAACCAACAAUGUUGGAGGCAGUGACAAUAAAUAUCUGCGGGUACUAUGUAUCCGACUGGAAUGAGAUGGAUUUAAAGAAUCCUACGAGUAUCAAUUG
rnacentral:rRNA from 1 species